rnacentral:rRNA from 1 species
AGCAGCCGCGGUAAUUCCAGCUCCAAUAGCGUAUAUUAAAGUUGUUGCGGUUAAAACGCUCGUAGUUGGAUUUGCGACUUAGGAAAACGGUCCCUCGAAAGAGCGGUCACUGUUCUUCCUGGUCUACACACAGGUCAGUCUCAUCCUAGGUGCUCUUAACUGGGUGCUUAGGGUGGCUGCCGAGUUUACUUUGAAAAAAU